ACAACAGUUUACUGAACAAAUUACUCUUUAAAUGAAUUCAAUUAUAAUGAAAAGUUUUCUAAGGAAUAAAAAUGUAUCUCAGCUUCCGCUCGGAACUGUAGGGAGCCCUUUUACAUUACUUUAGGUUACAAUUAACAACAGGGCCCACACUUAAAAUUCAAUUACCAUUUAUUUUUAUAUAAUAAUCAACAUUCAACUUAAAAAAAGAGAAAGAAAUGUAUGUAAACCUGUAAAUUGCACAUAAUGCACACAGUUUCACCCAAAGAUAAACGGCAGUGCUUUACAACCAUAGGACAGGAAGAGCUAAAUAAACUUAUCACUGUAUCUAAACCAACAACAUGUUUAUUAGAUCCUGUACCCACUAAAUUACUGAAAGAGCUGUUACCUGUAGCCGAAGAACCGCUUCUCAAUAUCAUUAACUCGUCGUUAUCUUUAGGACACGUCCCAAAACCAUUCAAGCUGGCGGUUAUCAAGCCUCUUAUUAAGAAACCAAAACUAGAUCCUAGUUGUACCAUUUCCAAAUUAUAGGUCUAUUUCAAACCUUCCAUUUAUGUCGAAAAUUUUAGAAAAAGUUGUGUCUGCUCAAUUGAGCACCUUCCUGCAUAAAAAUGAUCUGUAUGAAGAAUUUCAGAAACUGCACUUGUUAAAAUUACAAAUGACCUGCUUCUUGCGUCAGAUCAAGGCUGCAUCUCAUUUCUAGUCUUACUUGAUCUUAGCGCUGCGUUCGACACAAUAGAUCAUGACAUACUCAUAGAUCGAUUACAAAACUAUACAGGUAUUCAAGGGCAGGCUUUAAGAUGGUUUAGAUCCUACCUGUCCGAUCGCUACCAUUUUGUUUACUUAAAUGGGGAGUCAUCUCAUUUAUCAUCAGUAAAAUAUGGAGUGCCACAAGGAUCCGUCCUAGGUCCCCUUCUAUUUUCAAUAUACAUGUUGCCCCUUGGUAAUAUUAUUAGAAAAUACAGAAUUAGCUUCCACUGUUAUGCUGAUGAUACUCAGCUAUAUAUCUAGGUAGUGGUUUACAAAUUAUCAUUACUUACCUAUAAGGCCCUAAAUGGUUUGGCUCCUGCGUACCUAACUAGCCUUCUACCACGCUACAACCCAUCACGCACCCAAAGGUCACAAAACGCUGGACUUUUGGUAGUUCCUAGGAUAGCAAAGUCCACUAAAGGAGGUAGAGCUUUCUCACAUUUGGCUCCCAAUUUCUGGAAUAGCCUUCCUGAUAAUGUUCCGGGUUCAGACACACUCUCUCUGUUUAAAUCUAGAUUAAAAACACAUCUCUUUCGCCAAGCAUACGAAUAAUGUAUCUCUUAAAUUGUGACUGCAGUAAAAUUUAAAAAAAUAAAUAAAUAAAUACAAAUGCACAUUCUUAUUCUUUAGCUUGGGUUAAACUAAUUAAUUUUACUUUGUUGGAUCAGCGGCUAUGCUAAUGAUGUCUCUAUUUGUUUCUAUGUAACUAGGAUUUACACAAGCUCCAGUCUGGAUCCAGAACACCUGUGAAGAGAUGAUGCUGACCCUCAGAGGACCUCAGAUGAUGCUGACCCUGAAUCAACUUCUAAAUUAAACAAUUUCUAUUUGAUGUUGGAAUAUAUUCAUUUACACAGUGUCUGUCAUAACUUGUUUAAUAACGGAUUUAUCCCUUGGUGCACUGUUUGUUGUUAGUAUGGUAGUAGAAUUAGUAGUAGUAUUAUCUUUUAAGAAUAAUUAAUAUGAUCUAUUACUAUUAUUAUUAUUUUACCCUACCCUACAUGACCAAAAAUAUCUUAAGAAUCACCAUGCUUAUACACCAUUUCUAUAAAAUGACAAAUAUGCAUUUAUACAUGGUUACCAAGUUUUAGUUCUAAUCACUAAAGUUCUAUCAUUAUCAUUAAAUAGUGCUUAAUACCAUAAUAUAAAGCUUGACUGACUGAUUUAAGAAGCUGUGCCAUUUUAAAAAGAAAAGCUAAUUGGAAUCAUGCUUGUCCACAUGGCACAUGGCAAAGAGUUUUGCUUGAUGCUUUAUCACAGGGGUGUCCAAUCCUGCUCCUGGAGUGCCAGCACCCUGCAGAUUUCAGCUCCAACACACAUGCCUGGAGGUUUCAGGAGCGUCUGAGGACCUGAUGACUGGUUCAGGUGUGUGUGAUCAGUGCUGGAGCUGAACUCUGCAGGAGGAACAGCUCUGCACACCCCUGCUUUAUCAUGUUGUCUCUAGUUAGGAGAAAGUAGGCUAAACUGAGGUGACACGGCUAUAAAUAAAGCUCACUCACUUUGGCUAGCAGGGUCCGGGCGGUCCGGCGAGCACCACUCCAGCGGAUUGAAUAUAUCAAAACUGAAUGUUUGAUUAGUAAUAUGCAUUGCUAAGAACUUCAUUUGAACAACUUUAAAGAUGAUUUUCUCAGCAUUUAGAUUUUUUUGCUCUCUCAGAUUCCAGAAAUUAUGGAGGGAGCGCUGAAUGGCAUCGCUUGGAGAUAAUUAAGUGCCAUGAAUUUAUCUAUGUACUAUAACAUGUAAAACUAAUAUUUUAUUAUUAACUAAAAAAAUUCAAGGCAUUGAUGUCUGUCUACAAAACCACCGCUGGCUCAGCACCUCUUUACCUAAAUUCAUUACUUCAGACUUGUGCCUCUAGGGAAGUUGUGGCCUAAUGGUUAGAGAGUCAAACUCGAAAUCGAAGGGUUGUGAGUUCGAGUCUCGGGCCGGCAGGAAUUGUGGGUGGGGGGAAGUGCAUGUAAGAGAAAUUGCAACGAAUCUUGGUGCAGACUGUCACCAAGGUGGCCUUCGUGUUGACGCUACUCUCUGGGAGGGCGGCACUAUGGGGGACAGCGGUGUGGGAGAACCAGGAUCCAUGCUGCGCCUCGUUUCAGGUGCUCUCUGCCGAGAUGAGAUGGGUCUUCGAUCGGGCCGUCGCAGGACGGGAGGUGGCCCGGAGGCUGGCGGAGUUACGCCAGCACGAGAGAUCAGUCUCAGACUUAUACUUAGAUUGCUAGAGAAUGGGCUUUUUGUCAAGGCGGAGAAAUGCUAGUUUCAUGCACAGUCAAUUCCAUUUUUGGGGUAUAUCGUGUCAACUGAGGGAAUACGCAUGGAUCCCGAGAAAGUUAAGGCUGUGGUAGAGUGGCCAAGUCCAGAUUCCCGUAAGGCCCUACAGAGGUUUCUGGGGUUCGCUAACUUCUACUGGCGUUUCAUUCGCAACUUCAGCCAACUAGCCGCACCUCUGACCGCCUUGACCUCCGCCAAGACUGCGUUCAGGUGGUCAGACACAGCUGAGGCUGUGUUUGCCAAACUGAAGAGCCGUUUCAUUUCAGCCCCUAUUCUGAUUACCCCUGACCCUACACGUCAGUUCGUGGUGGAGGUCGAUGCGUCAGAGGUGGGGGUAGGAGCGGUGUUAUCCCUUAGAAGACAAGGUUCAUCCUUGUGCGUAUUUUAUAUAUCAUUUAUCUCCUGCAGAACGAAAUUACGAUAUUGGUAACUGAGAAUUGUUGGCAGUUAAGAUGGCAUUGGAUAAAUGGUGACAUUGGUUAGAAGGAUCGGGGGUUCCUUUUAUAGUAUGGACUGACCACAAGAAUUUAGAGUACAUUAGCACCGCCAAAAGGUUGAACUCCAGGAAGGCUCGAUGGGCACUUUUUUUCAGACGUUUUGACUUUACUAUUUCAUACCGACCGGGUUCCCAAAAUAUCAAACCCAAAUCUUUGUCCCGUAUUUUUGACCAUUCCGAACGCCCAUCCACUCCCGAGUGUAUUUUCCCUGAGACAUUAGUGGUCUCCACUCUCACAUGGGAGAUCGAAUCGAAGGUCAGAACGGCCUUAGAAGGGGUAACGCCUCCGCCCGGGUGCCCACCGAACCGUUUAUUUGUGCCAGAGGGAUUAAAGUCUAAUGUUAUCCAGUGGGGACAUUGCUCUAAUGUAGCUUGCCAUCCAGGAGUUAACCGUACUAGAUUUUUAGUCAAGCAACGAUUCUGGUGGCCACUUAUGCCUCGCUACAUUCACAAUUUUGUUUUGGCUUGCUUGGUUUGUGCCACUGGUAAUACUUCCAAUCGGCCCCCUUAAGGGGUUACCCUUCGAGACCCUGGUCCCACAUCGCACUAGAUUUUAUUACCACCCUCCCGUCCUCCCAGGGCAACACGGUAGUUUUAACCGUGGUGGACCGGUUCUCGAAGGCAGCCCACUUUAUUCCCUUGCCCAAAUUACCCUCAGCCAAGGAGACAGCGUUGACCGUCGUAGUUUACAUCUUUCGUUUACAUGGCCUCCCGAUAGACGUGGUUUCCGACAGGGGACCCCAAUUUGUGUCAAAAUUUUGGUGAGAAUUGUGUAGAUUGCUGGGAGUGACUGUAAGUCUGUCCUCAGGGUUUCAUCCCCAGAGCAAUGGUCAAACCGAGAGAGCCAACCAAGAUUUGGAAAGGGUGUUGCGAUGUUUGGUCUCCAAGAAUCCUUCCUCCUUGAGCCAACAAUUGUCUAUGGUGGAGUACGCCCACAAUACCUUACCAGUAUCAGCUACGGGCCUAUCUCCUUUUGAGUGUAGUGUAGGUUACCAGCUACCUAUUUUUCCCAGUAUGGAAUCCGAAGUUGCAGUCCCCUCCAUUCACGCCUUCGUCCAGAGGUGUCACCGCACUUGGACCAGAGCCCGCGAGACUCUACUCCAAGUGGUGGCGCGCACCAAGGCCAAAGCCGAUCGCCACCGGUCUAGGCCUCCCGUAUACGUCGUGGGUCAAAAAGUGUGGCUUUCUACCAAGAAUAUUCCUCUCCAUUUCGUAUCUAAUAAAUUGGCUCCCAAAUUUAUUGGCCCGUUUACUGUCACCAAGAUCAUUAGUCCGGGGACGCGGAUUUCAGUACUUGGUGGACUGGGAGGGUUACGGUCCAGAGGAGAGAAGUUGGGUACCUGCUAGGGACAUCCUGGAUCAUUCCCUUAUCGAUGAUUACCAUCGACAGGUAAGAGAUUCUGGGGACGCCAGGAGGCGUCCUAGGGAGGAGGGGUACUGUCACGGUUCGGGAAUGCACCGUCUCCAGCUGUAUUCAUGUUACGUCAUGUUGAUUGUUUCAUGUGGGUGUUACUCAUUCCAACUGCCUAUUUAACAGUUCUUUCGUCUCCUGUUUGUCAGAUCGUUGUUUGAGGUCCUCCGUGUCUGAUGUCUGAUUCGUGUGUUCCUGCCUUGCUUUGUCUCCUGUUCGGUUUCUGUUGGAUCAUUACCUUCGCUCACGGAUUAUCGUCACCUCACUUUGAUUUACCACCGCCGUCAUCAUCAUCAUCAGCGCACUCAAUUCACCUACUCACCAGUCUGUGCUGCCAUCGCGGUUCCUGCGUCAUUCUCCAACCUACCAUCAUCUCAAAUAUUACAAUAAACUCUGUUAACUUGC